CGGGUGCACUGAUCCGGCCGGGCCUUUCCCUCUGUGGAACUCCAUGGCCUUCACUGGCUGUGCGGGGGAAACAGGACUUUUACUGUGAAAAAAUUAGAGUGCUCCAGGCAGGCCUAUGCUCGAAUACAUUAGCAUGGAAUAAUAGAAUAGGACGCGUGGUUCUAUUUUGUUGGUUUCUAGGACCGCCGUAAUGAUUAAUAGGGACAGUCGGGGGCAUCAGUAUUCAAUUGUCAGAGGUGAAAUUCUUGGAUCUAUUGAAGACUAACUACUGCGAAAGCAUUUGCCAAGGAUGUUUUCAUUGAUAAGGAACGAAAGUUAGGGGAUCGAAGACGAUCAGAUACCGUCGUAGUCUUAACUAUAAACUAUGCCGACUAGGGAUCGGACGAUGUUAUUUCUUGACGCGUUCGGCACCUUUCGAGAAAUCAAAGUGCUUGGGCUCCAGGGGGAGUAUGGUCGCAAGGCUGAAACUUAAAGAAAUUGACGGAAGGGCACCACCAGGGGUGGAACCUGCGGCUUAAUUUGACUCAACACGGGGAAACUCACCAGGUCCAGACACAGUGAGGAUUGACAGAUUGAGAGCUCUUUCUUGAUUCUGUGGGUGGUGGUGCAUGGCCGUUCUUAGUUGGUGGAGUGAUUUGUCUGCUUAAUUGCGAUAACGAACGAGACCUUAACCUGCUAAAUAGCCCGUACUGCUCUGGCAGUUCGCCGGCUUCUUAGAGGGACUAUCGG
rnacentral:rRNA from 1 species